rnacentral:rRNA from 1 species
UACGUAGGAUCCGAGCGUUAUCCGGAAUUACUGGGCGUAAAGAGUUGCGUAGGUGGCAUAGUAAGUAGGUAGUGAAAGCACACGGCUCAACCGUGUAUACAUUAUCUAAACUGCUAAGCUUGAGGACGAGAGAGGUUAUUGGAAUUCCUAGUGUAGGGGUAAUAUCCGUUGAUAUUAGGAGGAACACCGAUGGCGUAGGCAGAUAACUGGCUCGUUCCUGACACUCAGGCACGAAAGCGUGGGGAGCAAACGGG